rnacentral:tRNA from 1 species
GCGGGAGUGGUGUAAUGGUAACACAUCAGCCUUCCAAGCUGACGAUGCGGGUUCGAUUCCCGUCUCCCGCA